rnacentral:tRNA from 1 species
GGAAUUUUAGUAUAAAGGUAGAGUACGGUUGUGCCUCAAGCAACAAAUGUCAGUUCCGAAUCUGAUAAAUUUCA